rnacentral:rRNA from 1 species
GAUUCUGGCUCAGGAUGAACGCUGGCGGCGUGCCUAAUACAUGCAAGUCGAACGGAGAUACCUUUCGGAAGCCUUCGGGCAGACGAGUUGGUAAUCUUAGUGGCGGACGGGUGAGUAACACGUGAGCAACCUGCCUUUCAGAGGGGGACAACGGCUGGAAACGGCCGCUAAUACCGCAUAACAUAUCGGAUAGGCAUCUAACUGAUAUCAAAGGAGCAAUCCGCUGAAAGAUGGGCUCGCGUCUGAUUAGAUAGUUGGUGAGGUAACGGCUCACCAAGUCGACGAUCAGUAGCCGGACUGAGAGGUUGAACGGCCACAUUGGGACUGAGAUACGGCCCAGACUCCUACGGGAGGCAGCAGUAGGGAAUAUUGCACAAUGGGGGAAACCCUGAAUGCAGCAACGCCGCGUGAAGGAAGACGGUUUUCGGAUUGUAAACUUCUUUUCUUUGUGAAGAAACAAAUGACGGUAGCAAAGGAAUAAGCAUCGGCUAACUACGUGCCAGCCGCCGC